rnacentral:rRNA from 1 species
GAUGAACGCUGGCGGCGUGCCUAACACAUGCAAGUCGAGCGAUCUUCUUCGGAAGAGAGCGGCGGACGGGUGAGUAACGCGUGGGUAACCUGCCCUAUACACGCGGAUAACAUACCGAAAGGUAUGCUAAUACGAGAUGAUAUAAGAAAUUCGCAUGUUUUUCUUAUCAAAGCUGAGGCGGUAUAGGAUGGACCCGCGUCUGAUUAGCUAGUUGGUAAGGUAAUGGCUUACCAAGGCGACGAUCAGUAGCCGACCUGAGAGGGUGAUCGGCCACAUUGGAACUGAGACACGGUCCAAACUCCUACGGGAGGCAGCAGUGGGGAAUAUUGCACAAUGGGCGAAAGCCUGAUGCAGCAACGCCGCGUGAGCGAUGAAGGCCUUCGGGUCGUAAAGCUCUGUCCUCAAGGAAGAUAAUGACGGUACUUGAGGAGGAAGCCCCGGCUAACUACGUGCCAGCCGCCGCAGUAAUAC